rnacentral:rRNA from 1 species
AGAACGAACGCUGGCGGCAUGCCUAACACAUGCAAGUCGAACGCUUCCGGGGCUUCGGUCGCGGAGGAGUGGCGCACGGGUGAGUAGCGCGUGGGAACCUGCCCUGUUGUGGGGGAUAACCGAGGGAAACUUCGGCUAAUACCGCAUACGCCCCGGGACUUGGUCUUCGGAUUAGGUCUGGGGGGAAAGAUUGAUCGCAGCAGGAGGGGCCCGCGUCGGAUUAGCUGGUUGGUGGGGUAACGGCUCACCAAGGCGAUGAUCCGUAGCUGGUCUGAGAGGAUGAUCAGCCACACUGGGACUGAGACACGGCCCAGACUCCUACGGGAGGCAGCAGUGGGGAAUAUUGGACAAUGGGGGCAACCCUGAUCCAGCAAUGCCGCGUGAGUGAUGAAGGCCUUAGGGUUGUAAAGCUCUUUCGCCCGCGACGAUGAUGACGGUAGCGGAGAAGAGCCCGGCUAACUUCGUGCCAGCAGCCGCGGU